UGGGGAAUAUUGGGCAAUGGGCGCAAGCCUGACCCAGCAACGCCGCGUGAGGGAAGAAGGUCUUCGGAUUGUAAACCUCUGUCCUUGGUGACGAAACAAAUGACGGUAGCCAAGGAGGAAGCCCCGGCUAACUACGUGCCAGCAGCCGCGGUACUACGUAGGGGGCGAGCGUUGUACGGAAUUACUGGGCGUAAAGGGUGCGUAGGUGGCCUUUUAAGUUGGAUGUGAAAUCCCCGGGCUUAACUUGGGGGGUGCAUCUAAUACUGGGAGGCUAGAGUGCAGGAGAGGGAAGCGGAAUUCCUAGUGUAGCGGUGAAAUGCGUAGAUAUUAGGAGGAACACCAGUGGCGAAGGCGGCUUUCUGGACUGUAACUGACACUGAGGCACGAAAGCGUGGGGAGCAAACA
rnacentral:rRNA from 1 species